UACGUAGGCAGCGAGCGUUGUUCGGAAUUACUGGGCGUAAAGAGUGUGUAGGCGGUGUUCUAAGUUUGUCGUGAAAUCUCCUGGCUUAACUGGGAGGGUGCGGCGAAAACUGGAAUGCUAGAGGAUGGGAGAGGUAAGCGGAAUUCCUGGUGUAGCGGUGAAAUGCGUAGAUAUCAGGAGGAACACCUGUGGUGUAGACAGCUUACUGGACCAUUUCUGACGCUGAGACACGAAAGCGUGGGUAGCAAACAGG
rnacentral:rRNA from 1 species